CAGGUUUGAAGUCAAUGACAUAUUUUUCUUGUCAGCCAAACCAGAAAACUUGGCCCAUUAAGCAAAUACUUCUAAAGAUAAGGGAAAAUGAGAAGUUCAGAAUUGUUGGAGUAUGGCAUGAGGCUGACUUAGGUUGGAACAAACAAUCUUAAAAACCUUGUAUGCCAAAGAUUUAAGGGUGCAAAGAAUCAAAAUAUCAGAAAAUGUGCAAAUCUAUCUAAUCCCCGUAUGACAAGGCUGAAAAAUUGAGUUCGAUAACACAUGCACAGUUCUCUCCGACACCUAGCUAUGAAAUGAAUGGAACCAAAAGAGAUCAUGCAAGAAAUUACACUACUUGUUUCCAAACUUCCAGCUUAGAUAAAUAACCAUCACAGGAAACCGGUUCUGAAGGAAAAAAUAAAGCUGCUUUAUUUCUUUCAUGUGUUUACACGAAAGUAAACCGCACAUCACAGGGUGGCACACGCUAUUCACUGCAUAGCCAUAACUUAUGAGCUUACAAUGUCAUGAUUAAAAUCCUUGCACCCUAAUGCUCAUGUCUCAUUAACAUAACAUAGUUGAUUAAGUUUUUUGGGGUUGCAAUUCUCAAUCUGUUUCAAACAAAAAAGAGAAAUGUUUGGGCACAUUGAAUCUUUGAUUCUACAAAUUGGGGGGUGGUUGUGGCGCUGAAAAGCGAGCAGCCUGCAAGAAAAAGGCAGGGAAAAUAGCUCUGCAAGUAAAGCAAUGUGGAAAAGAUUUAUUCAAGUAAACCAAGAAGUUAGUGCAAGUGAACACCAAUAAAGGCGAGAACCACUAAACAAAUUGCGAUUGAAGCAACAAAGCUAGAAUGGAAUGGAAAACGGUAACUGAUGGAGAGUAUAAAAGGCAAAGAGCAAUAGUAACCGAUGAAAAGCAGAAAAGGCAAACAUAAUUUAUAUUUCCAGAGGAAAAAAACCAAUAACCAACAUGGCAAUAAAGAAACAGUUGACCGAAGACAAACCUGGAAAAGGUUGCAACAACAGAAAACAUAUUCAACAGAAUCCUUCAGGUCAAACCAUGCUAAAACAUGAGCCAAUUUAAGCCUUUGAAUGCUCAUAAGCUGAAAAGCAUGUGAGGAAAAAUAGAAAUAAAAAGGGAAGCAACAUGGAGACAAAGGACAAAUACCAGAGAGUCACAAAGAAACACAUAACCGAAGAACAUGUUAAAAGACCAAAACAAUGAAGAUAGUGUUUCUUACCCAAUGCUAAGGUUGUUUUUUUUUUUUUUCUUUUUUGGACCAAGUUUAUAUCGAACCUCAUCAUUUUUAAUCAUCUCUUGAUUAAACUCAUCUCAUUCCUCUAAGAAAUGCACUUGCUGCACAACUUGUAUAAAUAAAAUUACAUUUGUUUACUAAUUCUAGGAAACGUUUUUAAGCAAAUGAAAUAGGACUACAAAAUCAAAA